rnacentral:rRNA from 1 species
AACGAACGCUGGCGGCAGGCUUAACACAUGCAAGUCGAACGCUCCGCAAGGAGAGUGGCAGACGGGUGAGUAACGCGUGGGAAUCUACCCAGUUCUACGGAACAACUGAGGGAAACUUCAGCUAAUACCGUAUACGCCCUAUGGGGGAAAGAUUUAUCGGAAUUGGAUGAGCCCGCGUAAGAUUAGCUAGUUGGUAGAGGUAAUGGCUCACCAAGGCGACGAUCUUUAGCUGGUCUGAGAGGAUGAUCAGCCACACUGGACUGAGACACGGCCCAGACUCCUACGGGAGGCAGCAGUGGGAAUAUUGGACAAUGGGCGC